GAUGAAGAACGUAGCGAAAUGCGAUAAGUAAUGUGAAUUGCAGAAUUCAGUGAAUCAUCGAAUCUUUGAACGCACAUUGCUCCCGCCAGUAUUCUGGCGGGCAUGCCUGUUCGAGCGUCAUUUCAACCAUCAAGCCCUAGGCUUGCGUUGGAGCCCUGCGGCUGCCGCAGGCCCCUAAAAGCAGUGGCGGGCUCGCUAUCACACCGAGUGCAGUAGAUUACUCUUCGCUCAGGGCGUGUGGCGGGUUCCAGCCGUGAAACCCCCUACUUCUCAAGGUUGACCUCGGAUCAGGUAGGAAUACCCGCUGAACUUAAGCAUAUCAAUAAGCGGAGGA
rnacentral:misc_RNA from 1 species